rnacentral:rRNA from 1 species
ACGGGGUGCAGCAGGCGCGAACCUUCACAAUGGGGGAAACCCCGACGAGGGGAAUUCCAAGUGCCAUUGCAUUUGUGCAAGCUUUUCAUUAGUGUAAAGAACUUGGGAAAUAAGAGCUUGGCAAGACCGGGUGCCAGCCGCCGCGGUAACACCGGCAGCUCGAGUGGUAACAAUUUUUAUGAGCCUAAAGCGUCCGUAGCCGGUUUAAUAAGUCUUUGGUGAAAUCGGGAAGCGUAACUGUGGGAAUUCCGAGGAGACUGGCGAACUUGAGGUUGGGAGAGGCCAGAGGUACUUCCAGGGUAGAGGUAAAAUUCUGUAAUCCUGGGAGGACCACCGGUGGCGAAGGCGUCUAACUGGAACGAACCCGACGGUGAGGGACGAAACCUAGGGGCGCGAACGGGAUUAGAUACCCGGGUAGUCCAAGCUGUAAACGAUGCGGACUCGGUGUUGGGGGCCCUUUGAGGGGAUUCGGUGCCGGAGAGAGGUUGUUAAGUCCGCCACCUGGGGAGUACGGUCGCAAGGUUGAAACUCAAAGGAAUUGGCGGGGGAGCAC